UGGGGAAUUUUGGACAAUGGGGGAAACCCUGAUCCAGCCAUCCCGCGUGUGCGAUGAAGGCCUUCGGGUUGUAAAGCACUUUUGGCAGGAAAGAAACGUCAUGGGUUAAUACCCCGUGAAACUGACGGUACCUUCAGAAUAAGCACCGGCUAACUACGUGCCAGCAGCCGCGGUAAUACGUAGGGUGCAAGCGUUAAUCGGAAUUACUGGGCGUAAAGCGUGCGCAGGCGGUUCGGAAAGAAAGAUGUGAAAUCCCAGAGCUCAACUUUGGAACUGCAUUUUUAACUACCGGGCUAGAGUGUGUCAGAGGGAGGUGGAAUUCCGCGUGUAGCAGUGAAAUGCGUAGAUAUGCGGAGGAACACCGAUGGCGAAGGCAGCCUCCUGGGAUAACACUGACGCUCAUGCACGAAAGCGUGGGGAGCAAACAGG
rnacentral:rRNA from 1 species